rnacentral:lncRNA from 1 species
GGGAAGAAAAUUUGGCUGAUCAUGCUGUGAAGAAGCUUCAGCUCAACGAACAUGAGAUUGGCAUUGUGAAGGUCAAAUUUUUUUGGAAGGUUCCUGUGAGAAGCUUCUGCAUUCCAUCAAAAUCAUUCAGCAACUUCACAACUUGAAGUCCAAAGGCGGGCAUUUAUAGAAGAUGCCCUAAUCUUCUUUGGUCCAAAAUAAUCUCAAUGCCCUUCACUAUCGACCCAAUGGACUCGGU